rnacentral:rRNA from 1 species
GACAAACGCUGGCGGCGUGCCUAAUACAUGCAAGUAGAACGCUGAAGGAGGAGCUUGCUUCUCUGGAUGAGUUGCGAACGGGUGAGUAACGCGUAGGUAACCUGCCUGGUAGCGGGGGAUAACUAUUGGAAACGAUAGCUAAUACCGCAUAACAGUAGAUAUCGCAUGAUAUCUACUUGAAAGGUGCAAUUGCAUCACUACCAGAUGGACCUGCGUUGUAUUAGCUAGUUGGUGAGGUAACGGCUCACCAAGGCGACGAUACAUAGCCGACCUGAGAGGGUGAUCGGCCACACUGGGACUGAGACACGGCCCAGACUCCUACGGGAGGCAGCAGUAGGGAAUCUUCGGCAAUGGACGGAAGUCUGACCGAGCAACGCCGCGUGAGUGAAGAAGGUUUUCGGAUCGUAAAGCUCUGUUGUAAGAGAAGAACGAGUGUGAGAGUGGAAAGUUCACACUGUGACGGUAUCUUACCAGAAAGGGACGGCUAACUACGUG